rnacentral:misc_RNA from 1 species
GGUUCGAUCAUGGCUCAGAUUGAACGCUGGCGGGAUGCUUUACACAUGUCGAACGGCAGCACGGACUUCGGUCUGUGGCGAGUGGCGAACGGUGAGUAAUGUAUCGGAACGUGCCUAGUAGCGGGGGAUAACUACGCGAAAGCGUAGCUAAUACCGCAUACGCCCUUCGGGGGAAAGUGGGGGACCUUCGGGCCUCGCACUAUUAGAGCGGCUGAUACUGGAUUAGCUAGUUGGUGGGGUAACGGCUCACUGGUUAGCGACGAUCUGUAGCUGGUUUGAGAGGACGACCAGCCACACUGACUGAGACACGGCCCAGACUCCUACGGGAGGCAAGGUGGGGAAUUUUGGACAAUGGGGAAACCUGAUCCAGCCAUCCCGCGUAUGCGAUGGAAGGCCUUCGGGUUGUGAAGCACUUUGGCAGGAGAAGAAACGGCACGGAUAAUACCUCGUGCAACUGACGGUACCUGCAGAAUAAGCACCGGCUAACUACGUGCCAGCAGCCGCGGUAAUACGUAGGGGUGCAAGCGUUAAUCGGAAUUACCGGGCGAAGCGUGCGCAGGCGGUUCGGAAAGAAAGAUGUGAAAUCCCAGAGCUUAACUUUGAACUGAUUUUAACUACCGAGCUAGGAGGAAGCCAGAGGAGGAAUUCCGCGUGUAGCAGUGAAAUGCGUAGAUAUGCGGAGGAACACCGAUGGCGAAGGCAGCCUCCUGGAUAACACUGACGCUCAUGCACGAAAGCGUGGGGAGCAAACAGGAUUAGAUACCCUGGUAGUCCACGCCCUAAACGAUGUCAACUAGCUGUUGGGGCCUUCUCUGGGCCUGGUAGCGCAGCUAACGCGUGAAGUUGGACUGCCUGGGAGUGCUUGUCGCAAAAGAUUAAAACUCAAAGGAAUUGACGGGGACCCGCACAAGCGGUGGAUGAUGUGGAUUAAUUCGAUGCAACGCGAAAAACCUUACCUACCCUUGACAUGUCUGAAUCCCGAAGAGAUUUGGGAGUGCUCGCAAGAGAACCGGAACACAGGUGCUGCAUGGCUGUCGUCAGUCAUGUCGUGAGAUGUUGGGUUAAGUCCCGCAACGAGCGCAACCCUUGUCAUUAGUUGCUACGAAAGGGCACUCUAAUGAGACUGCCGGUGACAAACCGGAGGAAGGUGG